GACGAACGCUGGCGGCGUGCUUAACACAUGCAAGUCGAACGGAAAGGCCCUGCUUUUGUGGGGUGCUCGAGUGGCGAACGGGUGAGUAACACGUGUGUAACCUGCCCUUGACUUUGGGAUAACUUCAGGAAACUGGGGCUAAUACCGGAUAGGAGCUCCUGCUGCAUGGUGGGGGUUGGAAAGUUUCGGCGGUUGGGGAUGGACUCGCGGCUUAUCAGCUUGUUGGUGGGGUAGUGGCUUACCAAGGCUUUGACGGGUAGCCGGCCUGAGAGGGUGACCGGCCACAUUGGGACUGAGAGACGGCCCAGACGCGUACGGGACGCAGCAGGGGAGAAUAUUGCACAAUGGGCGGACGCCUGAUGCAGAAGCGCCGCGUGCGUGAUGACGGCUUUCGGGUUGUAAACCGCUUUCGCCUGUGACGAAGCGUGAGUGACGGUAAUGGGUAAAGAAGCAACGGCUAACUACGUG
rnacentral:rRNA from 1 species